rnacentral:tRNA from 1 species
GGAACUGUGCCCGAAUGAUCAGGGACCACUUUGAUAGAGUGGCACAUGGGGGCUAAAAUCCACCCAGUUCCU